rnacentral:tRNA from 10 species
GCGGACGUGGCCAAGUGGAUUAAGGCAGUGGAUUUGUGAAUCC